AUCAAUGUUGCUCUAUUGGUAUUGUUAAUUAAUAAUGGGAAAUCAAGUGCAACUCACUUUCCCUCAGUAACACUAAGAGCAAAUGGUGAUUUCGUGCUACCUGAAAAAGUUGAUAAAUUUGGAAGACAAGGCUCCAGAAUCUUGGCUGAUAGUAUUUAUUACAACACAAAAGAAAUCAUAGGAGGUCAUGGUCGAAGCCACCAUCAUUCAUUGCAACCUGGUAAUGUUGGUCAUAUUUUAUCAGAAAUCCCAUCAGGUCCAGAUCCCAUUCAUAACCCCGAUUCCCCUAGUGCACGUGUUUAUGGUUGAUGUGUGGAUGGAAUAGAUGUAUUCAAUAUUUAUAAAAUAAAUUGUGAGAUUCUGUAUACACUUGAUGUACUAGUUCAAUGUUAAUAAUUAAAUGUUAUAAACUCAAGUUAUAGAGUUCAUGAGUUAUCUCUAUUUAUAUUUCUCAACUAUUAGCCUUUUUAUUUCUCGUUGCAUCGGUUUGGAAUAUCUAUAAUAAUAUCUAUAUUUUGCAAGUACAAAAAUACUUUACAAAGUUAUAGUUCUUUUUCAAAAAUGUAUUGAUAAGUGCAUAGAUUAUCAAAGGGGUUCAUUCAAUCAAUUCCAAAUCCAACCAUUAUGUAAAUUGGAGCAUGGAAAAAAUAUAGAUACAAUUAUUGAAUUUUCUUCCACCUUAAAGAAUAUCCAACCUGGCGAUGUUUUCUAUCACACUUUCUUAAUAUCACAAAACAUUCUCUAGGGCCUUGGAAUUAAUAUUGACAGGAACAUGACACUUUGGCUAAAGGGUGCUUCUUGCUUACAUCGUCAUCUUCAUCACCACUGAUGUCAUUAUCCUUGUAGCACGACUCCCCACAUUUUGGGCAUUGGUUAAGUUUUUGAUAAUAUUUCCUCUCUAAUUGCAAUAAUUACAACAUGCAUAUUUUUUGACAUAAUCCAAACAAUUGGACACAAUAGAUUCUUGGCUUCAAAACUGUGGUUUGGACAAAUUUCUACCUUCUAGAAGCAUCUCUUUCAGCAAUUCAAGAAAUUAUAUUAAAUUUUUAUCUGUCCAUCAUCUUUUUUUCCUUCAAAUCAAAAAUAUUAAAAAAUAGUCGAUAUACAUGUAAAAUUUGUGAACCUCUUAAAUAAAAACUAAUCCUUCUCACUAAAUAAAGUAUCACACAUAUGGGCUUUCCGAAAAGAAGAUUCUCCAAUUUCACUGGUCAUAUCUUAUAGUCUAUCAUCCAUAUCUACAUUAACUUUGUAUCUAUGUGACUUCAUAGUUUGGAAUUCAUCUACUUCAGCCUGUCACAUCCAUGUUGUAUAAUUUAGAAUAAAUUUUUCACAACCUAGGUGAUUGAAAAUUACUUUCUUUUAAAAAGAAUACAUUCCAACAUGUAACAUAAGGACCAUAAAAGAUUCCAUUGUUGUUGGAAGUGUUUUUUUCCGUGAAUUCAAGAAAUUCAAGUAUUGCUUCCACAUACUUAUAAGAUAAAUAUGAAAUCUACAUUUUGUAGUAUUUGGUGGAAUCUCCCUCAACGGGUACUUAUAAUGUCUUCAACACUCUUUAGAUAGAGAGAAUAAGAUAAUACGCUUGUAGCACUAUAUACUAGGGACCAUAACUUACAUAUAUAGUGAUGAUCAGUUAGGAUUCACGUUAUUCAAAAAUGGACAAUAUUGAUAUACUCAUAUUUGAGUCCAUAUCAAACUAAAUAAUUAAUUAAUUAAUUUUCAAAAUAUAAUCUUAAUUAUUUUUUUGUCUUUAUUUGAUCACUUAAUCAUAAUAAUUAAUUUAAAAGUAUGACCACAUAAUAAUUAGUAGAAUGAAAGAAUUAAAUAAUAUUUAAAUAUAGUAUAUUCCAACACAUUUUACACGGAGGUCUAAUAGAAAUUCGGUUCAAUAGUAUACCUUACUAAUUUUCAUAAAAUUUAUCAUUUUGGAUGGUAUAAUUAUUGUCAAGAAACAAUAAUUAUUUAAUGAUUUUAUUAAAACAAAAAAUAUGAAAUAUAUGUUUAUUUUCUAUCUUUAUUUUUAUAAAAUUCAUUUUUUUUGACUAAAAUGAAUAAAUGUUCAUAUGGAGACAACUUUUUAAAAGGUUGUGUUAGGUGAAACAAUAUUCUACUAGUUACUAGUAUAUGUAUAUAUACAUCCACUGUAUGUCUAACUUAAAUUAUAUUUCAAAGUUAGCACCAUAUUCGAAUAACAUGCUACAAAUGAUAAUGGUGCAAAAAAUUCUUUCCUACCUUCUCUUGAUCAAUGUUGCUCAUUGGUAUUGUUAAUUAAUGAUGGGAAAUCAAGUGCAACUGGCUUUCCCUCAGUAACACUAAGAGCAAAUGGUGAUUUCGUGCUACCUGAAAAAGUUGAUAAAUUUGGAAGACAAGGCUCGAGAGUCUUGGCUGAUAAUAUUUAUUACAACACAAAAGAAAUCAUAGGAGGUCAUGGUCGAAGCCACCAUCAUUCAUUGCAACCUGGUAAUGUUGGUCGUAUUUUAUCAGAAAUCCCAUCAGGUCCAGAUCCCAUUCAUAACCCCGAUUCCCCUAGUGCACGUGUUUAUGGUUGAUGUGUGGAUGGAAUAGAUGUAUUCAAUAUUUAUAAAAUAAAUUGUGAGAUUCUGUAUACACUUGAUGUACUAGUUCAAUGUUAAUAAUUAAAUGUUAUAAACUCAAGUUAUAGAGUUCAUGAGUUAUCUCUAUUUAUAUUUCUCAACUAUUAGCCUUUUUAUUUCUCGUUGCAUCGGUUUGGAAUAUCUAUAAUAAUAUCUAUAUUUUGCAAGUACAAAAAUACUUUACAAAGUUAUAGUUCUUUUUCAAAAAUGUAUUGAUAAGUGCAUAGAUUAUCAAAGGGGUUCAUUCAAUCAUUUCCAAAUCCAACCAUUAUGUAAAUUGGAGCAUGGAAAAAAUAUAGAUACAAUUAUUGAAUUUUCUUCCACUUUAAAGAAUAUCCAACCUGCCGAUGUUUUCUAUCACACUUUCUUAAUAUCACAAAACAUUCUCUAGGGCCUUGGAAUUAAUAUUGACAGGAACAUGACACUUUGGCUAAAGGGUGCUUCUUGCUUACAUCGUCAUCUUCAUCACCACUGAUGUCAUUAUCCUUGUAGCACGACUCCCCACAUUUUGGGCAUUGGUUAAGUUUUUGAUAAUAUUUCCUCUCUAAUUGCAAUAAUUGCAACAUGCAUAUUUUUUGACAUAAUCCAAACAAUUGGACACAAUAGAUUCUUGGCUUCAAAACCGUGGUUUGGACAAAUUUCUACCUUCUAGAAGCAUCUCUUUCAGCAAUUCAAGAAAUUAUAUUAAACUUUUAUCUGUCCAUCAUCUUUUUUUCCUUCAAAUUAAAAAUAUUAAAAAAUAGUCGAUAUACAUGUAAAAUUUUUGAACCUCUUAAAUAAAAACUAAUCCUUCUCACUAAAUAAAGUAUCACACAUAUGGGCUUUCCGAAAAGAAGAUUCUCCAAUUUCAUAGGUCAUAUCUUAUAGUCUAUCAUCCAUAUCUACAUUAACUUUGUAUCUAUGUGACUUCAUAGUUUGGAGUUCAUCUACUUCAGCCUGUCACAUCCAUGUUGUAUAAGUUAGAAUAAAUUUUUCACAACCUAGGUGAUUGAAAAUUACUUUCUUUUAAAAAGAAUACAUUCCAACAUAUAACACAAGGACCAUAAAAGAUUCCAUUGUUGUUGGAAGUGGUUUUUUCAGUGAAUUCCAGAAAUUCAAGUAUUGCUUCCACAUACUUAUAAGAUAAUUAUGAAAUCUACAUUUUGUAGUAUUUGGUGGAAUCUCCCUCAACGGGUACUUAUAAUGUCUUCAACACUCUUUAGAUAGAGAGAAUAAGAUAAUACGCUUGUAGCACUAUAUACUAGGGACCAUAACUUACAUAUAUAGUGAUGAUCAGUUAGGAUUCACGUUAUUCAAAAAUGGACAAUAUUGAUAUACUCAUAUUUGAGUCCAUAUCAAACUAAAUAAUUAAUUAAUUAAUUUUCAAAAUAUAAUCUUAAUUAUUUUUUUGUCUUUAUUUGAUCACUUAAUCAUAAUAAUUAAUUUAAAAGUAUGACCACAUAAUAAUUAGUAGAAUGAAAGAAUUAAAUAAUAUUUAAAUAUAGUAUAUUCCAACACAUUUUACACGGAGGUCUAAUAGAAAUUCGGUUCAAUAGUAUACCUUACUAAUUUUCAUAAAAUUUAUCAUUUUGGAUGGUAUAAUUAUUGUCAAGAAACAAUAAUUAUUUAAUGAUUUUAUUAAAACAAAAAAUAUGAAGUAUAUGUUUAUUUUCUAUCUUUAUUUUUAUAAAAUUCAUUUUUUUUGACUAAAAUGAAUAAAUGUUCAUAUGGAGACAACUUUUUAAAAGGUUGUGUUAGGUGAAACAAUAUUCUACUAGUUACUAGUAUAUGUAUAUAUACAUCCACUGUAUGUCUAACUUAAAUUAUAUUUCAAAGUUAGCACCAUAUUCGAAUAACAUGCUACAAAUGAUAAUGGUGCAAAAAAUUCUUUCCUACCUUCUCUUGAUCAAUGUUGCUCAUUGGUAUUGUUAAUUAAUGAUGGGAAAUCAAGUGCAACUGGCUUUCCCUCAGUAACACUAAGAGCAAAUGGUGAUUUCGUGCUACCUGAAAAAGUUGAUAAAUUUGGAAGACAAGGCUCGAGAGUCUUGGCUGAUAAUAUUUAUUACAACACAAAAGAAAUCAUAGGAGGUCAUGGUCGAAGCCACCAUCAUUCAUUGCAACCUGGUAAUGUUGGUCGUAUUUUAUCAGAAAUCCCAUCAGGUCCAGAUCCCAUUCAUAACCCCGAUUCCCCUAGUGCACGUGUUUAUGGUUGAUGUGUGGAUGGAAUAGAUGUAUUCAAUAUUUAUAAAAUAAAUUGUGAGAUUCUGUAUACACUUGAUGUACUAGUUCAAUGUUAAUAAUUAAAUGUUAUAAACUCAAGUUAUAGAGUUCAUGAGUUAUCUCUAUUUAUAUUUCUCAACUAUUAGCCUUUUUAUUUCUCGUUGCAUCGGUUUGGAAUAUCUAUAAUAAUAUCUAUAUUUUGCAAGUACAAAAAUACUUUACAAAGUUAUAGUUCUUUUUCAAAAAUGUAUUGAUAAGUACAUAGAUUAUCAAAGGGGUUCAUUCAAUCAAUUCCAAAUCCAACCAUUAUGUAAAUUGGAGCAUGGAAAAAAUAUAGAUACAAUUAUUGAAUUUUCUUCCACCUUAAAGAAUAUCCAACCUGGCGAUGUUUUCUAUCACACUUUCUUAAUAUCACAAAACAUUCUCUAGGGCCUUGGAAUUAAUAUUGACAGGAACAUGACACUUUGGCUAAAGGGUGCUUCUUGCUUACAUCGUCAUCUUCAUCACCACUGAUGUCAUUAUCCUUGUAGCACGACUCCCCACAUUUUGGGCAUUGGUUAAGUUUUUGAUAAUAUUUCCUCUCUAAUUGCAAUAAUUACAACAUGCAUAUUUUUUGACAUAAUCCAAACAAGUGGACACAAUAGAUUCUUGGCUUCAAAACUGUGGUUUGGACAAAUUUCUACCUUCUAGAAGCAUCUCUUUCAGCAAUUCAAGAAAUUAUAUUUUAAAUUUUUAUCUGUCCAUCAUCUUUUUUUCCUUCAAAUCAAAAAUAUUAAAAAAUAGUCGAUAUACAUGUAAAAUUUGUGAACCUCUUAAAUAAAAACUAAUCCUUCUCACUAAAUAAAGUAUCACACAUAUGGGCUUUCCGAAAAGAAGAUUCUCCAAUUUCACUGGUCAUAUCUUAUAGUCUAUCAUCCAUAUCUACAUUAACUUUGUAUCUAUGUGACUUCAUAGUUUGGAAUUCAUCUACUUCAGCCUGUCACAUCCAUGUUGUAUAAUUUAGAAUAAAUUUUUCACAACCUAGGUGAUUGAAAAUUACUUUCUUUUAAAAAGAAUACAUUCCAACAUAUAACAUAAGGACCAUAAAAGAUUCCAUUGUUGUUGGAAGUGUUUUUUUCCGUGAAUUCAAGAAAUUCAAGUAUUGCUUCCACAUACUUAUAAGAUAAAUAUGAAAUCUACAUUUUGUAGUAUUUGGUGGAAUCUCCCUCAACGGGUACUUAUAAUGUCUUCAACACUCUUUAGAUAGAGAGAAUAAGAUAAUACGCUUGUAGCACUAUAUACUAGGGACCAUAACUUACAUAUAUAGUGAUGAUCAGUUAGGAUUCACGUUAUUCAAAAAUGGACAAUAUUGAUAUACUCAUAUUUGAGUCCAUAUCAAACUAAAUAAUUAAUUAAUUAAUUUUCAAAAUAUAAUCUUAAUUAUUUUUUUGUCUUUAUUUGAUCACUUAAUCAUAAUAAUUAAUUUAAAAGUAUGACCACAUAAUAAUUAGUAGAAUGAAAGAAUUAAAUAAUAUUUAAAUAUAGUAUAUUCCAACACAUUUUACACGGAGGUCUAAUAGAAAUUCGGUUCAAUAGUAUACCUUACUAAUUUUCAUAAAAUUUAUCAUUUUGGAUGGUAUAAUUAUUGUCAAGAAACAAUAAUUAUUUAAUGAUUUUAUUAAAACAAAAAAUAUGAAAUAUAUGUUUAUUUUCUAUCUUUAUUUUUAUAAAAUUCAUUUUUUUUGACUAAAAUGAAUAAAUGUUCAUAUGGAGACAACUUUUUAAAAGGUUGUGUUAGGUGAAACAAUAUUCUACUAGUUACUAGUAUAUGUAUAUAUACAUCCACUGUAUGUCUAACUUAAAUUAUAUUUCAAAGUUAGCACCAUAUUCGAAUAACAUGCUACAAAUGAUAAUGGUGCAAAAAAUUCUUUCCUACCUUCUCUUGAUCAAUGUUGCUCAUUGGUAUUGUUAAUUAAUGAUGGGAAAUCAAGUGCAACUGGCUUUCCCUCAGUAACACUAAGAGCAAAUGGUGAUUUCGUGCUACCUGAAAAAGUUGAUAAAUUUGGAAGACAAGGCUCGAGAGUCUUGGCUGAUAAUAUUUAUUACAACACAAAAGAAAUCAUAGGAGGUCAUGGUCGAAGCCACCAUCAUUCAUUGCAACCUGGUAAUGUUGGUCGUAUUUUAUCAGAAAUCCCAUCAGGCCCAGAUCCCAUUCAUAGCCCCGAUUCCCCUAGUGCACGUGUUUAUGGUUGAUAUGUGGAUGGAAUAGAUGUAUUCAAUAUUUUAAAAAUAAAUUGUGAGAUUCUGUAUACACUUGAUGUCCUAGUUCAAUGUUAAUAAUUAAAUGUUAUCAACUCAAGUUAUAGAGUUCAUGAGUUAUCUCUAUUUAUAUUUUUCAACUAUUAG
rnacentral:lncRNA from 1 species